CACGUAGUUAGCCGUGGCUUUCUGAUUAGGUACCGUCAAGAUGUGCACAGUUACUUACACAUUUGUUCUUCCCUAAUAACAGAGUUUUACGAGCCGAAACCCUUCAUCACUCGCGCGGCGUUGCUCCGUCAGGCUUUCGCCCAUUGCGGAAGAUUCCCUACUGCUGCCUCCCGUAGGAGUCUGGACCGUGUCUCAGUUCCAGUGUGGCCGAUCACCCUCUCAGGUCGGCUACGUAUCGUCGCCUUGGUAAGCCGUUACCUUACCAACUAGCUAAUACGGCGCGGGUCCAUCUAUAAGUGAUAGCAAAACCAUCUUUCACUUUAGAACCAUGCGGUUCUAAAUGUUAUCCGGUAUUAGCUCCGGUUUCCCGAAGUUAUCCCAGUCUUAUAGGUAGGUUACCCACGUGUUACUCACCCGUCCGCCGCUAACUUCAAAGGAGCAAGCUCCUUAUCUGUUCGCUCGACUUGCAUGUAUUAGGCACGCCGCCAGCGUUCAUCCUGAGCCAGGAUCAAACUCU
rnacentral:rRNA from 1 species